rnacentral:rRNA from 1 species
UACGAAGGGGGCUAGCGUUGUUCGGAAUUACUGGGCGUAAAGCGCACGUAGGCGGACUAUUAAGUCAGGGGUGAAAUCCCGGGGCUCAACCCCGGAACUGCCUUUGAUACUGGUGGUCUCGAGUCCGGAAGAGGUGAGUGGAAUUCCGAGUGUAGAGGUGAAAUUCGUAGAUAUUCGGAGGAACACCAGUGGCGAAGGCGGCUCACUGGUCCGGUACUGACGCUGAGGUGCGAAAGCGUGGGGAGCAAACAGG